CAGAUCGUCUCGUUGUGGAACGAGAUGAGCACCAUGAACGCCCUCCUCGUGAAGCUCUCUCGGGCGGCGGCGCUCGACGAGCAGCAGAGGGACUGACGUGACAAGGUGCGCGAGCUCUCCUACAACAUGGAGGACUGCGUCGACGUCUUCACCCAUGAACUCAACGGCGGCGGCCAUGGCGGCAAGGCCUGGCUUAAGCGCAGGCUCAGAAAGAUCAAGACGCGCCACAAGAUCGCCGGCCGCAUCGAGGAGCUCAAGGCUCGGGCGCUAGAAGUAAGCAGCUGCCACAGUAGGAAUAAGACUGAUGAGUGCACCUUUUCUCCUGACUGCAUCGCAUCUCCUGGGGGCCUGGUGACUAUUGACCCUCGAAUGGAGGCACCCUAUGUAGACGCCAACAGCCUCAUAGGCAUAGACGGCCCGACGGGGAAGCUCAUCAAGUUGCAAAUCGCCUUAGAGUGGAUCGCCUCCCUGAAUAGCAGCGCCACUGCUGAAGCCUUCCUGACGCCGAAACUGAUGACGUCGUCGGAGUCCAUGGAUUGA
rnacentral:rRNA from 1 species